rnacentral:rRNA from 1 species
AGUUUGAUCCUGGCUCAGAGUUGAACGCUGGCGGCAGGCUUAACACAUGCAAGUCGAGCGCCCGCAAGGGGAGCGGCAGACGGGUGAGUAACGCGUGGGAACAUACCCUUUGGUUCGGAAUAACUCAGGGAAACUUGAGCUAAUACCGGAUACGUCCGUAAGGAGAAAGAUUUAUCGCCUUUAGAUGGGCUCGCGUUGGAUUAGCUAGUUGGUGGGGUAAAGGCCUACCAAGGCGACGAUCCAUAGCUGGUCUGAGAGGAUGAUCAGCCACACUGGGACUGAGACACGGCCCAGACUCCUACGGGAGGCAGCAGUGGGGAAUAUUGGACGAAUGGGCGAAAGCCUGAUCCAGCAAUGCCGCGUGAGUGAUGAAGGCCUUAGGGUUGUAAAGCUCUUUUACCCGAGAUGAUAAUGACAGUAUCGGGAGAAUAAGCUCCGGCUAACUCCGUG